GAGACUGGGACAGGUGAAAGUGGGACAGGUGAGAGUGGGACAGGUGAGACUGGAGGGGCUGUAUCUACUUCUGUUCCCAGCACUUUGAGCGCUCCUGCUUCGAGCUAGUGGGAUACAGGUGAGACAGGUGGGCUACAGGUGAGACUGGGCACAGGUGAGACUGGGACAGGUGAGACUGGGACAGGUGAGACUGGAGACAGGUGAGACUGGGGACAGGUGAGACUGGGGGGGCUGUUCCCAGCUUCUGUUCCCAGCACUUCGAGCGCUCCUGCUUCGAGCUAAUGGGGUACAGGUGAGACUGGGGACAGGUGAGAGUGGGGACAGGUGAGACUGGGACAGGUGAGACUGGGGACAGGUGAGACUGGAGGGGCUGUAUCUACUUCUGUUCCCAGCACUUCGAGCGCUCCUGCUUCGAGCUAGUGGGAUACAGGUGAGACUGGGACAGGUGAGACUGGGACAGGCGAGACUGGGGGGGCUGUAUCUACUUCUGUUCCCAGCACUUCGAGGACUCCUGCUUUGAGCUAGUGGGCUA